rnacentral:lncRNA from 1 species
AAAUAAACACAACCAAAUUUAAACGAAAAAAAUUACAAAGAAGAGAAUUUCAAGCCAAAAAAAGCAAAAUUCUUGCAGCUCUACCAUAGAUGACUAAAGUGAAAAGAAAACAAUAGUUCAAGUAAAGCUUUAAAGAUGAACAAAUCGAUUGCAUAAUCUUCUUGCUUACACAAAAAAACAGCUUUUAAUUUUUUUCAAUAACCCAACAAAAA